GUACCCUUAGCUCAGUUGGUUAGAGCAGACGGCUCAUAACCGUCCGGUCGUAGGUUCGAGUCCUUACAGGGUCCUCCA
rnacentral:tRNA from 1 species